UCCCUGGUGGCUCAGAGGUUAAAGCCUCUGCCUGCAAUGCUGGAGACCUGGGUUCGAUCCCUGGGUUGGGAA
rnacentral:tRNA from 1 species